UACGUAGGGCGCAAGCGUUGUCCGGAAUUAUUGGGCGUAAAGCGCGUGUAGGCGGCCAGGUAGGUCCGAUGUGAAACUGGAGGCUCAACCUCCAGCUGUCAUUGGAACCAUCUGGCUAGAGUCCGGAAGAGGAGAGUGGAAUUCCUGGUGUAGCGGUGAAAUGCGUAGAUAUCAGGAGGAAUACCGGUGGCGAAAGCGACUCUCUGGACGGCAACUGACGCUGAGGCACGAAAGCGUGGGAGCAAACAGG
rnacentral:rRNA from 1 species